rnacentral:lncRNA from 1 species
GUAAUGAUCUCAGGAGGAAAUACAAACCACGCUAUAUUCUACCCAUAGGUACGGGGAUCGUAUUGAACUAUGUGUCGACCCUUAAAAAAAUAACCAUUUUCACAAAUAAUCAUGUCAUAAUGUCAUGGUAUAUCAAAACAAAGUAUGCUUUUAAACAUAAAACAUAUCAGUUUUAAACCACAAGCCAUGCUUCAGAAACAUAAAACAAUUCUUUUAUGCUAUGUAAUACAAUAAACAAGAUCACGAGAAUAUGCUCAAAUCUUUCAACACAACCGCAAGCUAACGUUCCUGAAAUUCGGGUCUACGUUUAAUAUUCGAACUGUUUUAGAUUUAAUAUCCUCCUUGCGGCGAUAAAUAUAUUAACAUUUUUUAAAAUUUUAUUUUAAACAAAAGUUUAACAUUCGAAUUUCUUUGCAACCAGUUUUAAAAUUUUUAAAAAAAGCCAUCGGUAAUUUAUUUUUAUAAAAUUCAUUCAAACUUAAUUUGACUCAGAAUUACAUACAUACUAGGAUAGACACAUUUAUUUACUUACAGUAAAAUAUCAUAACAUUUUAAGUUGGAUAAUAUUUUUCAAAAUUCGCCAACUUCCCAAGUUCCAGUUCAUGAUUUCAAUUGACAGUAGCUUCAAUUAAAAAUUAUUCUACUUCGAAACCAUUUUAACAAAUUGAUGAAUUCAAACAUUACAAUAACUGGAACAUAUAAUUGAUACAUAUAAAAAAUUGUCAUAAUUUUAUAACAUACGUAAACUAUUUUUAUAAAAUUUCUAAGUUUCUGUUCGCACUAAUUAUUCUUCCAGUUCGCAGUGUUUUCAGAUCGAUUUUGGGACCCAUUAUCUCUUAAUUUCACAAAAUGUUGUUAAAUGAAAGUUUAUAUAAUUUCAAUAUCUUUCCAACGAAACUUAAUCAAGUUAUUCGAGAAACCGUAUGAAAAAGUUAGGAUCAACAUACCGCGGCUGUGCCCGUGACAAAAUUGAAUUCCGACUUGGCUUUUGAUUUAACAAAAAAACGUUUAAGUGUAAUAUUUUUCGGGGUAUUUAGUAAGUUUAAUGUAAACUAGAUACGAAAGUUCGCAUGCUCGCCCCCCGUCCCCCCUGUACUUCAGUGCGUUAACCAAUAAAGGAGAUGACGCUUUGCCCAUUAUCUCGGCGGAAAAAAAACAAUAUUUGACACUUCUGAGUCUUUCCCUCACUCUUGCUUUCUUCCUAUUUUUUCCUUCUUUUCCUCUUUCUCUCUUACUCUAUGGUUUCGUGAUGGAAUGAAGCUGAGGCUAGGAAUUGUACCAUCUUUUAUAAGUUUAAGAAUUUGGGCGUAUUAGGAGUGGCUUCACAUGCAACAGCACCACCUACACUCACAUGCACAGCACCACCUACACACACACACAUGGGCCCUACCCUUUUUGUUUCGUAGUGUAUCACAGCCUGCGCACAACUAAAACACACUCGGCCAACACACCACACAAUUCUCAAUACGUGGUGACACGUGUCACCAGGGCUUUCAUGCAAGACACCUGCGUGUCCACAACGUGUCGAAUUAUCGUAUUCCGUUUUCUUCCAAAUUAAACUCGCACGACAAAAACAAUUAGUUAUAUUAGAAUUAAAUGUAUAUUUGUUUCGCGGUUCGGGGUAUCAACAGAUCCCCCACGUACCCCUGCUGGCUUGCUUUUUCUGCGGACCUCUGUGAAACGCGGUUGCUUCCCUGUCCAUUCUCCUUGCUAAUACCACUGGGAACCAUGUCGGACAGUAGUCCCCCUAUCUGGACACUCCCCUCCAAUUAAUAGCCCUCUAGUCUUCUUUCCCCACAAUCUCAUUGUUUCCCUUGGAAAUUCUGAGAAUCCCUCCAACUAGCACAAGGCGCAUCCCAUUGAAUCUAGCAACACACAAAUCCAGAAAUCAACCCAAUUUUUCAUAGAUUAGGAACAUGCCUUUCUCAGUCAAAGUAACAGAACCUCCCGUCUGCCAUGCAGAACCGGACUGACCCCUCUGCCAAACAACUCUGCUAGACGUGUUGUUCGCCAUCCAUAUACUCCCUACGCAUGGUUGGUGCAUAUGUAGAGCACACCUCUCCUAUCUCUACACAAUGGUCAGCCACUGCCUAAACCCGCAAUACCCAAUCUGACUUUCCAUCUUUCCGAUACUGCUAGGAGAACGUCAAACUAAUCCACUCAUCGAAGCCAUCACUGUUGUCGCUGCUGUAUCUAAGACUGAUCCUGUGCUUUUACUUUGGCAAUCCCUCUUGAUAUGCACCUUCUAGUCGCAAUUAAAAGCACCUAACAGUGCGAACCUCUCGCCUGGAACCUCUACUGUCCUUUUCCAGUACCUAAUGAUGACCUCUCCUGGACCACUCGGCCUCUUCCAUGCGUUCCUCUGAGAUAGGUCCUGCGGACUCACUUCUGAUCUGUCGAACCCAUCUCCUCUCCUCCGACCUCUUCAGUGAAUAGGGCAUCCAUAACCCUACCUUAGUCAACUUCCCAUUCGGUCGGCGCUAAUUGCUGAGAUAAACCA